GUAACGAAUCUUCCGCAAUGCGCGAAAGCGUGACGGAGCAAUGCCGCGUGUGGGAUGAAGCGGUUUUCCGUGUAAACCACUGUCAGGGUCCAGGAAGAACUGACCGGACCCAAAGGAAGGGGCGGCUAACCUCGUGCCAGCAGCCGCGGUAAGACGAGGGCCCCAAGCGUUAAUCGGAAUCACUGGGCUUAAAGGGUGCGUAGGCGGACUCGCAAGCGUCUUGUGAAAUCCCUCGGCUCAACCGGGGAAUUGCUGGGCGAACUGCGAGUCUUGAGGGAGCUAGAGGAUGUCGGAACGUUCGGUGGAGCGGUGAAAUGCGUAGAGAUCGAACGGAACGCCGAAGGCGAAGGCAGGCAUCUGGGGCUCUCCUGACGCUCAGGCACGAAAGCGUGGGGAUCAAACAGGAUUAGAAACCCCGGUAGUCC
rnacentral:rRNA from 1 species